ensembl:snRNA U6 U6 spliceosomal RNA
GUGCUCCCUUUGACAGCACAUAUACUAAAGUUGUAAUGCUACCGAGAACAUUAGCAUGGCCCCUGCACAAGGAUUUCAUCCUACACUUAAAAAAACGAAUUUCAUUA